rnacentral:piRNA from 1 species
CAUUUCAUUUCUCUGUGUUCUUUAUUGCAG